rnacentral:rRNA from 1 species
CACGCAGGCGGCCUGGUAAGUCAGAUGUGAAAGCCCGGGGCUUAACCCCGGAAGUGCAUUUGAAACUAUCAGGCUUGAGUAUGGGAGAGGGAAGUGGAAUUCCUGGUGUAGAGGUGAAAUUCGUAGAUAUCAGGAGGAACACCGGUGGCGAAGGCGACUUCCUGGACCAAUACUGACGCUGAGGUGCGAAGGCGUGGGGAGCAAACAGGAUUAGAUACCCUGGUAGUCC